rnacentral:rRNA from 1 species
CCUACGGGUGGCAGCAGUGAGGAAUAUUGGUCAAUGGGCGAGAGCCUGAACCAGCCAAGUCGCGUGAGGGAGUACUGCCCUAUGGGUUGUAAACCUCUUUUGUCGGGGAGCAAAAGCCGGACGUGUCCGGCUGUGAGGGUACCCGACGAAAAAGCAUCGGCUAACCCCGUGCCAGCAGCCGCGGUAAUACGGAGGAUGCGAGCGUUAUCCGGAUUUAUUGGGUUUAAAGGGUGCGCAGGCGGAUUUUUAAGUCAGCGGUAAAAUCGUGGGGCUCAACCCCAUCCAGCCGUUGAAACUGGGGAUCUAGAGUGUGCGAGAGGUAUGCGGAAUGCGUGGUGUAGCGGUGAAAUGCAUAGAUAUCACGCAGAACCCCGAUUGCGAAGGCAGCAUACCGGUGCACAACUGACGCUCAGGCACGAAAGCGUGGGUAUCGAACAGGAUUAGAUACCCGAGUAGUC